rnacentral:rRNA from 1 species
CAAUAAGCGGAGGAAAAGAAACCAACAGGGAUUGCCUCAGUAACGGCGAGUGAAGCGGCAACAGCUCAAAUUUGAAAUCUGGCCGCAAGGUCCGAGUUGUAAUUUGUAGAGGAUGCUUUUGGCGAGGUGCCUUCCGAGUUCCCUGGAACGGGACGCCAUAGAGGGUGAGAGCCCCGUACGGUAGGACCACCAAGCCUCUGUAAAGCUCCUUCGACGAGUCGAGUAGUUUGGGAAUGCUGCUCUAAAUGGGAGGUGUACGUCUUCUAAAGCUAAAUACCGGCCAGAGACCGAUAGCGCACAAGUAGAGUGAUCGAAAGAUGAAAAGCACUUUGAAAAGAGGGUUAAAAAGUACGUGAAAUUGUUGAAAGGGAAGCAUUCAUGACCAGACUUGGGCUUGGUUGAACAUCCGGCGUUCUCGCCGGUGCACUCUGCCAGUCCAGGCCAGCAUCAGUUUGCCCCGGGGGAUAAAGGCGGCGGGAAUGUGGCUCCCUUCGGGGAGUGUUAUAGCCCGUCGUGUAAUGCCCUGGGGCGGACUGAGGAACGCGCUUCGGCACGGAUGCUGGCGUAAUGGUCAUCAAUGACCCGUCU